CACGGUUUGGUUGAGUGGUCUAAGGCGCCAAAUUUAGGCUCUGGUUUAAAAGGGCGUGGGUUCAAAACCCACAGCCGUGA
rnacentral:tRNA from 1 species